UUUUGAUUCAUUUCAGAAAAUUACUGCAAAAAAGUAGAAGGGAGGUUAAACUCUCUCCCCAGGAUGAGACAGCAGCAUGGUGGUGGCUUGCAGGAUGUAUGCAGCGUGAACGUGUGCACCGGACUCAGAUGCCUCGCUCUGAUCCUCAUGGAAUUUAUUUACCUUGACUUGUUCCCACCUGCUGAAGUGGGAAAGACACUCAAACAAGAAGCGUUUAGUGGGGAAGCUGGAUGCCAGGAACCAGGCUGAGACUGCUCCAGAAGCCUCAGGGACCUAUAAUUGGUCAUCUGCAGGGUAGCCUGCUCUUUUUCAAAGGAGCUGUCGCCAAGUUCCCUGUUUGCCAGACCUCUGGGCCUGAAUCCUAGUUGGUUUAGUGGUAAUAGGGCCAAGGUCACAGGCGCGCUCCUAACUUUAGCAAACAUUUCUCAAGUGAAGUCAGUCCACUGGGUGUGAGAGAAAACGAUUUAGCUCGACCUUGUAAUCUCUCAAAUAAAUAAAUAACCCAUAAAAUCAUAGGCUGUGCAGAUGGAUUGCCAAG
rnacentral:lncRNA from 1 species